ensembl:lncRNA
AAAAAUGAUCUUGAGGGCUCACUACUAGACAGAAAUACUUGCCAUUACUUCUACCACGACUCUCUCAAGAGGGUGAAUAAUCAGGUUGAAAAACUCGAAGCAAAGCUACUUGUAACUGAUUCGACUCCUUCCCGUUAGCAUGCAUUUCACACAGGACUCCUAGCCUAUUGCCACUUCUCUCUUUCGCUUUUUGUUUGUCUUCACAACCGGACGCUGAUCACAAAAGUAGAGGGCAGAUAUACGCAGGAAAAAAAAAAAACCCACAAAAACACGAGGAGACACCUGUUUUCCUUUAAGUAUCAAAGCAGUUUGGAUGCGGGUGGCUUCGUUUUAUUUUGUGUUACAAUUUCAUCUGCGUAAGUAAUUUUGAUUUUUUCAAAGUGCGACUGUGAGUGUGUUUGUAUUUUGCAUGUCGACAAUUCACACACCGGAAGACUGUUGGAGAAGCGGACGGUCUCCUGCUGGCAAUGACAAGGAGUUCUGGAAAGAAUUCAGGCUGCAGUAGGGCUGAUGAGAACAUCAGUGGGCAGCUCUCCAGUCUCAUUGGCACAGGCUACACUGGAGAUGAAACAGGCCCCUGAUUCACUGAAGAUCCAACAGCAAACGGGAUUAUUUUAAGGCAACCCUAUGUUAAAGAAAAUGUAUUUUCUUUAUAGCUUUUCUCACAAGGUUCCAACCUCUCAUUUGUGGAGAAAUGCAAACUCAGAUCAGAAGAUUCCGCUUAGGAUCAAGUUGAGCCUUCAGAUGAGGCCACAGACCCUGAAUGGACAGCCUGCUUGCAGCUGGAUCCACAGAAACUGUGGGGUAAGAAAUGUAUGUUGUUUUAAGCUGGUAAUUUUUGUGGCAAUCUAUUUUGCAGCAAUAGAUUAUUAA